AAAAAAGGACAAAAAUAAAAUCAAUAUAAAUACAGGUAUCUUGUAAGCAAUAAAUUAAUAAAUAGUCCUUGAGAACAGAGAUCAGACGCGUUUCGACUUUCAAAGAGUCUUUCUCAGUGUCUCUGAUGGGUCCUGUGCAUGAUUAUGCCCAUAAUCAAGUGCGUUCCUUUUUCAUCGAAGCACACAGUCUUAAGUCACAUUGUGUUUUUUUGUUUUUUAUUGUUCAGUUGUUGGGGAACACCUAUUGACACCCAUAGCACAAACAUUUGAAAAUUCUGGGAAGUCCUAUACACUUACUUAGAUUAUAUGGAAUGUAGCAAGUCUUUCAUUUUUUUUUUCUUACUAAUGCUAUACCACUCCAAUUCAUCUAAAUCGAAAGACUGUUGUUGCUCCUCCUCCUAUUCUUGUGAACAAUGAAGAUGGAUACGAGGUUGAAGACAUUCUUGACUCCAAGAUACUAUACAGCAGAUUUUAAUUAGAAUUUUUAAUUAAGUGGAAGGAAUACAAUGAUUUUCAUAAUGAGUGGGUCUCUCAUUACAAUAUUCAUGAUCAUGACCUCCCUUCUUUCCAUUGAGACCCAAAAGCUCAAUGAAUUAGCUCUUGGAGGGAGGAAUAGGUUGUCAUUCUUCUGUGUAUAGUCAAUAGUUUUAUAUUUUAUUUUAAGAAGCAUUGUUAGAAUCUUGCUCUGCAGCUUUAUGAGACACGUAAUGUAAUGCAUGGGAAUUUAAAUGCAUACCCUCAGCGCCUCUACGCAUACUUUGUCCGGAUCAUAUGCUUUACUGUUGUCUCCUGCCUCAGGUUCUACUUUCAUGGACCUCACUGUAUCCUCUUCCACACUCCCUUCCUCUUCAAACUAAAGUUUCCUUUGAAUAGAACCCUUGGACAACGACGUCAACAUGAUAUACAGUACUUUGCCAUUUUCUAUGUUAGCUAUUGGUUGGAUUUUACGGCUUGACUAGCACUUUCCCCUUGAGAUUUUCCUUUGUGCAUACUUCAGCUCCUCAAGACUUAUUUCAUGAUGACUACUCUGGCUUAAACUCAUGGAUAUUCUUACGGUCUGCUCCUUGGACUGAUUUUAAGGUAACAGCUCUGGCUAGUCUCAGAUCCUCUUAUUGUCUUUCCGAUACCUGUAUUAAGUCUUCUUUACUAGUGUGUGCUGCAGAUUUAGAACCAAAACUUUCCUCACCCUUUACUUUAUUUGUUUUUGGAUUAGAAAAUUAAUUUGAAAGGAAA